CACCCGUGUUUAUUGUACCUUGUUGCUUCGGUGCGCCCGCCUCACGGCCGCCGGGGGGCUUCUGCCCCCGGGUCCGCGCGCACCGGAGACACCAUUGAACUCUGUCUGAAGAUUGCAGUCUGAGCAUAAACUAAAUAAGUUAAAACUUUCAACAACGGAUCUCUUGGUUCCGGCAUCGAUGAAGAACGCAGCGAAAUGCGAUAACUAAUGUGAAUUGCAGAAUUCAGUGAAUCAUCGAGUCUUUGAACGCACAUUGCGCCCCCUGGUAUUCCGGGGGGCAUGCCUGUCCGAGCGUCAUUGCUGCCCUCAAGCACGGCUUGUGUGUUGGGCUCCGUCCCCCCGGGGACGGGUCCGAAAGGCAGCGGCGGCACCGAGUCCGGUCCUCGAGCGUAUGGGGCUUUGUCACCCGCUCUGUAGGCCCGGCCGGCGCCAGCCGACAACCAAUCAUCCUUUUCAGGUUGACCUCGGAUCAGGUAGGGAUACCCGCUGAACUUAAGCAUAU
rnacentral:rRNA from 1 species